GGCUGGCCCAGGUAUGCGUUGUCGCCGCACCUUUUGUUGGGCCAAGUGAUGUGGGAAGGAGGUUCUAUUGGGGACCCCAAGUCUAUGGACCCGUCAUCAGCUGAGAGCCUAAAUACACUAUCCAAGACUUGUUCAAAUUUUCUACUAACAGUCUCAAUCAACCUCCAUCUGUGCAAUUAGUUUAUAAUUAAUUCAUAUUUAAUCUUUCUAAUUAGCCUCCGAAUAUUCG
rnacentral:lncRNA from 1 species